rnacentral:lncRNA from 1 species
AUGUGGCUACAGGGAGGGACAACUUCGACGCUUACCACGAUGUUCAAACCAGAGGUGUCGGGAGUUUGGGUCUGCGGUGUUGCUGGCCCUAGAGAUGAAGACGCACACUUAAGAGGGCAAAAUAAGGGACUUCCAGAUCUUCUAAUGACUCACGGGGGAUAUCUUGACUGUCAUGAUGCCUGCACCCCCCCCCCCAACGUUGCAUCAAUUGUCAGCACAGCCGAGCUGAAGUCUCUCCUGUUCCAGGUGCUGCGUGCAUGGUUGCUGAACUGCCUGGUGACCCGACAAAGGCCUCUGGCCUCAGGAUCACCAACCACCAGGCCCACACGAAGAGUUAAACCACAGCGGAAGGACACGCAAGAUCGAAUCCCAUCCCGGAAGUCUGCCAUCCUCUUAACACAUGGGAGCUACUCCAGGUGUGGCCUUCAAGGGUGGGGGACCCUGAAGAAGCACACAGAUCCUGAGGGCGGAGGCCUCAGCCGAGCUGCCACACCCAGCGCAAGCGGCGACGCCACGCCGGAGACAGCACGGUGCGGUGCAGCAGCUGGUGUUGUGAAUCAGGCCGUUGCCACUCCGAGAACGGCUACUUCACAACACCAGGGUCGCACCCCACCACGGGCAGCGCCGGAACCAGCAGCGGCAUCGGCAGCCAGCCAGCCACGCCCUCCACCGGGGCGUUCCGAGGGCCACGUCCACCUGGCUCCAGACCCCAGCUCCUGCUGGGGCUCCACUGCAGGUUUCCCACUGCGUGCACAGAGCUGUGGGCCGCCCCUAAACUGA